rnacentral:rRNA from 1 species
UGGGGAAUAUUGGACAAUGGGGGCAACCCUGAUCCAGCAAUGCCGCGUGUGUGAAGAAGGUCUUCGGAUUGUAAAGCACUUUCGACGGGGACGAUGAUGACGGUACCCGUAGAAGAAGCCCCGGCUAACUUCGUGCCAGCAGCCGCGGUAAUACGAAGGGGGCUAGCGUUGCUCGGAAUGACUGGGCGUAAAGGGCGUGUAGGCGGUUUACACAGUCAGAUGUGAAAUCCCCGGGCUUAACCUGGGAGCUGCAUUUGAUACGUGUAGACUAGGGUGUGAGAGAGGGUUGUGGAAUUCCCAGUGUAGAGGUGAAAUUCGUAGAUAUUGGGAAGAACACCGGCGGCGAAGGCGGCAACCUGGCUCAUGACUGACGCUGAGGCGCGAAAGCGUGGGGAGCAAACAGGAUUAGAUACCCUGGUAGUCCACGCUGUAAACGAUGUGUGCUAGAUGUUGGGUAACUUUGUUAUUCAGUGUCGCAGUUAACGCGUUAAGCACAC